rnacentral:rRNA from 1 species
AGUGAACGCUGGCGGUAGGCCUAACACAUGCAAGUCGAACGGCAGCACAGUAAGAGCUUGCUCUUACGGGUGGCGAGUGACGGACGGGUGAGACAUACAUCGGAAUCUACUUUUUCUUGGGGGAUAACGUAGGGAAACUUACGCUACUACCCAAUACGACCUACCGCUGAAUGCAAGGGUUCUUUGGACUUUGCCUGAUAUAUUGAGCUGAAUCCGGGUUGGAUUAGCUAGUUGGUAAGGUAACGGCUCACCAAGGCGACGAUGCGUAGCUGAUCUGAGAGGACGAUCAGCCACACUGGAACUGAGACACGGUCCAGACUCCUACGGGAGGCAGCAGUGGGGAAUAUUGGACAAUGGGCGAAAGCCUGAUCCAGCCAUACCGCGUGAGUGAAGAAGGUCUUCGGGUUGUAAAGCUCUUUUGUUGGGAAAGAAAAGCAGCAGGAGAAUAUCCCGCUGUUUUGACGGUACCCAAAGAAUAAGCACCGGCUAACUUCGUG